UACGUAGGGUGCAAGCGUUGUCCGGAAUUAUUGGGCGUAAAGAGCUCGUAGGUGGCCUGUCGCGUCGGCUGUGAAAACUCGGGGCUCAACUCCGAGCUUGCAGUCGAUACGGGCAGGCUAGAGUUCGGCAGGGGAGACUGGAAUUCCUGGUGUAGCGGUGAAAUGCGCAGAUAUCAGGAGGAACACCGGUGGCGAAGGCGGCUCUCUGGAACAAUCCUGACGCUGAGGUGCGAAAGCUAGGGGAGCAAACGGG
rnacentral:rRNA from 1 species